UUAACUAUUAGAUAGUACUCAGACGACACUAACAUUCAGAGUUUAAGGUCCUUUGACACGCACGAGCCAGCCAAAGCCGGUACCCGAAGGCGGCGUGCCAAAGCAACAAAGAUAUAAUACACAAGGGUGAGGUUUGCUACCCGUGAGGGCAGCGAACACUGUAAUGAUCCUUCCGCAGGUUCACCUACGGAAA
rnacentral:misc_RNA from 1 species